ensembl:lncRNA
UAAUAAUCAAAUGUAACUCUUCCAGGCUUGCAACUAAUGCUCUCCCUUCAUAAUUUUUGAUUUUACUUGCAAAUAUCCAAAGGCUUGAUGUAUAUUAUCUCACACAUCAGUUGAGAGCCGAGCAAGAAGCCUCAACACUUCAAUUUUAGAUGCCUUGUCUGCAGACUUGUUGGCAUGCCGACUGGAUGGCUCAGUUUUGGGAUUAUGUCAACGCCUUCAGCAGAUGCUAUUGCCUUACAUAAAGAGAUAUGCCAUGCUGGAGAGCUUCCACUCACUCUGAAUGUGUGCAUUUUGGCCACAAGCAACAACUGCACAUCCAGUCCUAUCACUGACAUGGCAACCAAGAAUUCUGGGAGCCUUCCCAAAGCUGUUUUGCAUCACUCAUCAAAAGAUUCCACUGGGAAUGUGACAGAAUCCUCCUGUAUUCAGCUCAACUCAACUUUCAACACGCUGGUCUGAUGUGCUUGUUGAUGCCCAAACAUUUCCUGAAUAAGCUGGUGGGACGAAUCACUGCCAGGGCCUGUUGAUACAAUAAGUCUGCCAUCCCAGCGGAGGCACAUUGUGUGACGGCAGAGAGGAACAGGGUGGAGCAGCUAUUUUUACCUGAAGCCCAGGAGUGAGCUCAACACAGAAGAGGUACCCUUGUGAUGGACUGGCGACCGAUCCAGAUGUCAUCUUGCUCCGGUUCGAGUUGUGGUAGCCUCCUACCUCCACUGCAGUCAACUACAGGAUAAAGCAGUCCUGCCUAGGCUGAGCUGGCCUCAGCUUACCUGUCUCCUGGAAUGCACGCCACCGCCUUGGGCCAGCCGGAUCAUCUCGCUAUCCUCUGCACCUGCCUACACCGGUUACUGACGUCAAUCCAGCUGCAACGCCACAUUUGCCCCGCCACACUCCGUCCAUAUUGCCUUAGCUCCUCUCCCUGCCCAGUUGCCAG